rnacentral:rRNA from 1 species
AUUGAACGCUGGCGGAAUGCUUUACACAUGCAAGUCGAGCGGCAGCGCGGCCUUCGGGCUGGCGGCGAGCGGCGAACGGGUGAGUAAUGCAUCGGAACAUGCCCAGUCGUGGGGGAUAACACUUCGAAAGAAGUGCUAAUACCGCAUACGUCCUGAGGGGGAAAGCGGGGGAUCGCAAGACCUCGCGCGAUUGGAGUGGCCGAUGUCAGAUUAGCUAGUUGGUGGGGUAAAGGCCUACCAAGGCAACGAUCUGUAGCUGGUCUGAGAGGAUGAUCAGCCACACUGGGACUGAGACACGGCCCAGACUCCUACGGGAGGCAGCAGUGGGGAAUUUUGGACAAUGGGGGCAACCCUGAUCCAGCCAUUCCGCGUGAGUGAAGAAGGCCUUCGGGUUGUAAAGCUCUUUCGGCAGGAACGAAACGGUGGGCUCUAACAUAGUCCGCUAAUGACGGUACCUGAAGAAGAAGCACCGGCUAACUACGUG